AGCAGUCAGCCCCACCCGCGCAGACCCAGGAAAGGGUCCCACCUCAUUGGCCCUAUUCAGACCCAGGCCCCGCCCCAUGGGUGGCACCGCCUGCAGACCCCGCCCAGGGGCUCUAUAGUUCCGCCCUUCAGGCAGGAGGACUCCUCACCUUGUGAGAGGCCAUCUCGCUCACGGAGCGGUAGGUCUGCAUGGUCUCCAGCUGCUCCAGGCACCAGUCCAGCUCCUCCAGCGUCUCCCGGGCCAGUUGUUGACAUGUCUCUUCUGGAGAAGGGGCAGCAUGGGUGGUGACCCAGAGGCCCCAACCCGAGCUGAUGGGGGUCCACCAAGUGAGUGGGGUGCUGGGAAAGGAGAGGGAACUGCUGCCUGAACAGAGGCUCAGAGAGAUCAAGUUCCUGCCUGAGGGCACACAGCAGAGCUAAGAGACGAACCCAGUCCAGGCCCCUGCUCAAUGUUGUCUCCCCAGGAAGCCUCACCUGACCAACCCAUCCAAGAUUUGAAUCUCUGCCUUACUAUGUCAUAUUUACCUUCCUUUAAAAAAAUAAAAUACUACUGACCUGA